rnacentral:rRNA from 1 species
UAGGGAAUAUUGGGCAAUGCCCGCAAGGGUGACCCAGCAACGCCGCGUGGAGGAUGAAUGUCGUAAGAUUGUAAACUCCUGUUAGAGGGGAAGAAUAGUACCGGUUGGACCGGUAUAUGACUGUACCCUCAGAGAAAGCCCCGGCUAACUACGUGCCAGCAGCCGCGGUAAUACGUAGGGGGCAAGCGUUGUCCGGAUUUACUGGGUGUAAAGGGCGCGCAGGCGGGAUAAAAAGUCAGUGGUGAAAUCCUACAGCUUAACUGUAGAACUGCCUUUGAUACUUUUAUUCUUGAGUUCGGGAGAGAGAGACGGAAUUCCAGGUGUAGUGGUGAAAUACGUAGAUAUCUGGAAGAACACCAGUUGCGAAGGCGGUCUCUUGGUCCGACACUGACGCUGAGGCGCGAAAGCGUGGGGAGCAAACA